rnacentral:rRNA from 1 species
UGUCGUCAGCUCGUGUCGUGAGAUGUUGGGUUAAGUCCCGCAACGAGCGCAACCCUCGUCCUAUGUUGCCAGCACGUAAUGGUGGGAACUCAUGGGAGACUGCCGGGGUCAACUCGGAGGAAGGUGGGGAUGACGUCAAAUCAUCAUGCCCCUUAUGUCUUGGGCUUCACGCAUGCUACAAUGGCCAGUACAAAGGGCUGCAAUACCGUAAGGUGGAGCGAAUCCCAAAAAGCUGGUCUCAGUUCGGAUUGAGGUCUGCAACUCGACCUCAUGAAGUCGGAGUCGCUAGUAAUCGCAGAUCAGCAACGCUGCGGUGAUACGUUCCCGGGCAUUGUACACACCGCCCGUCAAGUCACGAAAGUCG